rnacentral:rRNA from 1 species
CGGUUGAUCCUGCCGGACCCCACUGCUAUCGGGAUAGGACUAAGACAUGCUAGUCAAGCGCUCGCCAACUAAUUGGGAGUGCGGCGCACAGCUCAGUAACACGUGGCUAACCUGCCCUUGGGACGGGGAUACCCCCGGGAAACUGGGGUUAAUCCCCGAUAGGUGAAGAACUCUGGAAUGAAUCUUCACCCAAAAGGCGCUUACGCUAUGCUCGUAAGCGCCGCCCAAGGAUGGGGCCGCGUCCGAUCAGGUUGUUGGUGAGGUAACGGCUCACCAAGCCUUUUACCGGUGCGGGCCGUGGGAGCGGGAGCCCGGAGAUGGGCACUGAGACAAGGGCCCAGGCCCUACGGGGCGCAGCAGUCGCGAAAACUUUGCAAUACACGAAAGUGUGACAGGGCUAUCCCGAGUGCCAUCCGCUGAGGAAGGCUUUUACCCAGUGUAGAUAGCUGGGGGAAUAAGGAGAGGGCAAGACUGGUGUCAGCCGCCGCGGUAAUACCAGCUCUCCGAGUGGUGUGGAUGUUUAUUGGGCCUAAAGCAUCCGUAGCUGGCUGGGCAAGUCCCCUGUUAAAUCCACCGAUUCAAUCGUUGGUGUGCGGGGGAUACUGCUCGGCUAGGGGACGGGAGAGGCCGACGGUAUUUCCGGGGUAGGGGUGAAAUCCUAUAAUCCCGGGAGGACCACCAGUGGCGAAGGCUGUCGGCUAGAACGCGCCCGACGGUGAGGGAUGAAAGCUGGGGGAGCGAACCGGAUUAGAUACCCGGGUAGUCCCAGCUGUAAACGAUGCAGGCUAGGUGUUUGGGCGGCCACGUGCCGCUCUAGUGCCGCAGGGAAGUCGUUAAGCCUGCCGCCUGGGGAGUACGGCCGCAAGGCUGAAACUUAAAGGAAUUGGCGGGGGAGCAC